ensembl:lncRNA
AAGAUGGGGUAGUCAUCAGACAGAGUUUCUCAGCCUUUCAUGAUUGGACAUUUUUGCUGAUACCUUGAAACUGAUUAGAACCUCCGAAAGCUGGACUGGAUAGAUAGGAGGGCAGGCUGUUGCUGGGGACUGACAUGACCAGUCGAUCUCAAGGGUUAUUAGGAGCACACAUUGUGGGCUUUGGGAUUGCUUGCAUUGGAUUUUGAAGACAAAAUCACCAGCCAGAGAUGUAUAAAGAGAUAAUGCUUUUGUUUCUUUUGUUAAGCCAUGCUUCAACGCAAACUGAAACAUAUCCCUCAGAAUCACCAGACCCAACUGAGCAUAAAAUUGAUGAAUCGGAAUAUGACAGCACUAGUACAAACGUGCAAAGUAAUGGACACCAAUCCACACCGAAACCAGAACUUAAAGAAGGAUCAGGAAAUCGCUUGACCCACGCUAUCUCUGGACCAGUGGUCACCAUCAUAGUUUUUGCUGUAAUGGCUGUCAUCGUUGGAGUCAUCAUCCUUGUGUCACUCUUGGUUCGUCGACUGACAAGGAAAAAUUCAUUCAACCUGAAGAACAAGGACACAGUCUCCCCUUAAGAUUCUAAUGAGAGAAAAAGCAGAAUAGUAACAUGUAAAAACAUCCUCCCAAAAUGACUGGAAAAGAUCCCGAGAAGACGACUGUAUAAAUGAUUCUGUGGAAAAGUGGGAAGCAUUGUUCUGUCACAAUAAUAGAAGGCAUCGCUCUGGACUGGAGACAACAUUUCAUCCAGAAGCCCCUACUCUAGGGACUCAAUGAUGGACAAAUGGCCCUGCUGACCCAACGUUUUUGAUAUUGUUAAAAGUUGUUUUAUUCAUACUCUUGCUUAAGUUUUGUAUUUGCUUAAUCGCCGAGUUAAGAGUUUAGGAACUAACCUGUGAUCUCCCAUCACAUCUUUGGAAAGGUGUUCUACUGGCCUGAUAAUCACUUUAGACUGGGUACCUAAAGACAUUGCAAUGCCAUCAUCUUCAGAUUUGUUUAAACCUUCAGUUCUCCCUACUACUUCUACUAACCUUUUGACCUGGGCAACAAAGGUGCUAGCAUGCCUAUACAUGGAAAUGUUUCACAUGCCAAUGUAAAUUCUGCUCACAAAGGCAAUUAGCCCAGUACAUACAGUAUCAUGGUAUCAGAAUCAUUUAAGGAUUCUGUAAUGGUGUAACAAAGCAUACCAUUUAAUGCAGAAAAGAGACUGUGAAAUAUAAAAG